rnacentral:rRNA from 1 species
GACGAACCGUGCGAACGUUGUUCGGAAUCACUGGGCUUAAAGGGCGCGUAGGCGGGUUCGCAAGUCUGUGGUGAAAGCCCUCCAGCUUAACUGGAGAAGUGCCGUGGAUACUGCGAAUCUUGAGGAGGGUAGGGGCGUCUGGAACGGUCGGUGGAGCGGUGAAAUGCGUUGAUAUCGACCGGAACUCCGGUGGCGAAGGCGAGGCGCUGGACCCUUUCUGACGCUGAGGCGCGAAAGCCAGGGGAGCAAACGGG